ACGAAGGGGGCUAGCGUUGUUCGGAAUUACUGGGCGUAAAGCGCGUGUAGGCGGUUGCCAUAGUCAGGUGUGAAAGCCUUGAGCUCAACACAAGAAAUGCACUUGAUACUGGGCGACUAGGGGACCGGAGAGGAUAGUGGAAUUCCCAGUGUAGUGGUGAAAUACGUAGAGAUUGGGAAGAACACCAGUGGUGAAGGCGGCUAUCUGGACGGUUUCUGACGCUAAGACGCGAAAGCGUGGGGAGCAAACAGGA
rnacentral:rRNA from 1 species